rnacentral:rRNA from 1 species
UACGUAGGGGGCAAGCGUUGUCCGGAAUCAUUGGGCGUAAAGAGCGUGUAGGCGGCCCGGUAAGUCCGCUGUGAAAGUCCAGGCUCAACCCUGGGAUGCCGGUGGAUACUGUCGGGCUCGAGUCCGGAAGAGGAGUGUGGAAUUCCUGGUGUAGCGGUGAAAUGCGCAGAUAAUCAGGAGGAACACCAAUGGCGAAGGCAGCACUCUGGGACGUGACUGACGCUGAGACGCGAAAGCGUGGGGAGCAAACAGG